rnacentral:lncRNA from 1 species
AACAAGAUGGUUGUGUCAUCCAUGACUAGGGCAGGAACCUUUGACUAUGGGUCACUUCAUACCUACCAUAGCAGUCCCUUUGGUUCAACUCCCUGUUGAGACCCCAGAUAUCCCUGGGGGCCACUUGAAAAAUCCAUGGAUCCUUCUAACCUACAGAGGAAGAAGGAGUGGGCUGAGAGGACUACCCAAACCCAUUGUCUUGCUGCUGGUCCACUGCUGGAUCAACCCCAGGAUACUGCAGAGGCACACUGUGAAGAGUCUUCUGGGGACACUGAAGCUCCUCUGAUUGAUUUCCGAGCGAAGAUGGCUUGUUCAGUGCCUUCCUACUCAAGGAGCUGGAGACUGAGCUUCUUCCUUUCUUCAAGGGAGAAUAUAAGUCUGGAUAGAAAAACUUGACAUUUGAGAACAACAUGAAGUCCAGAUUGAAUCUAAAUUCUCCCAUUUAGCAGCUAAGUUUAUUAACUUAUGGAAUUAAGUUAUUAACUUAUGGAAUUAAGUUCCUCACCCCAAAAUUAGUUACUAUUGUCUUUUUUCAUAGUUUUGUUGUUAUUAAAGAAAUAAAAUACAUAAAAUGAUUGACA